GUGGUCGAAAUAGUGGGGGAAGAAUGUUGGAGGGUUGCUGAAGUUUCCCUAACGCUCGAUGGCGUACCAGUGCAGAUCGUGAUUCUGUGGGACGUGCAGCGUCGCGGUGCUCAGCUGUCUUUGGCCUUUGCGUCGUCCGUCCGAUCGGAACGGACACACGCACGACGGCGAGAGUGGCACGUAGACGGGACGUGGCGCACGUCUUGGUCGGUUCACGCCAUGUCAUCGUGUGGAUAAAAAAGAAAAAAAAGAAAAAAAGAAUUGGCAAAAUUGGGUGAUCGGAUAUCUAUGUAUAAGGCUAGGGAUCGCGAGUAGUAGGGCGCGUGAUCGUCGUGUCAGGUUGACGUCGGCGUGUCGCGUGAAAUUACGACAGAGAGGAAGGAAGGAAGGAAGGAAGGAAGGAAGGAAGGAAGGAGGGAAGGAAGGAAGAGGCGAGUAAAAAGAAAAAAAUAGUGCCCGGAGGAAAGGAUCUCCCGCGGCUGGAGACACCUCCUUGGCCCGCGUGUGUUUCGCAAUUUUCAACGUCUGUUCCGUUCCUUUCUCCUCCUCCUCCUCCUCCCCCCUCCCCCCGUGUCUCGGCGUGUUCGCGCCUGAAACUGGACGGGGACUGGAAGAGUGUUUACGCGGCGAACUGUACUGCGACUGCGAGCAUCUGCGAAGGACGAGCACGAAGCAGGCAAGCAUUUCUGCCCGUGGCCCGCUGCGGUGCUUAACUGUGGACGGAGAUCGCAAGCAACCUCGAAACACGCAUCCGGUUUCGGAGAAGAGAAUCGAGGAGACGAGUGACGCGGUGGUGAAGAAAUUCCGAUUCGUUACACGCACGUUUUUUCCAAGCGGCAUCGACAUUUCGAUUACGUUGCCCAAACUUUGAGGCUUGGAACGAGAAGUCGGAAACAUUUGGAAAAACUCUUGGUUUCUUUCGUUCUUCGACGUACAAACUUUUCCCCGGAGCAUGAGUGGACGUAACCCGGGCAAGAUCCUUUUUCUGCCUCGUGGAAGAGGAAUGGCGUGAAACCUCGGUCGAAACCAAACCUUUGUUUCUUCCACGAUCUUCUCGGCCCCAUUUGCGAGAUUUUCUCCGGCCACGCUUCGAUCCGUUCUCCGGAAGAAAGGAUACGAGGAUGGAUGUACGGUUCGACGUUGGACGCGAAGCCACUGUGCCGAGGAACGCGUGUGCCAAGAAAAUCGAGAUUUAAACGCCUCUUCUCCUCUCCUCUUUCUUCAAUUCUUCAACAACUCCAAACAUUUUUACACGGUUUAUUGACGAUUCCCCCCUCCCCGCGUCGCGUGUACGCCUCGUGCUACUAUUCGUUUCGAGUAUUCAGUGUUCUCGAUCGACGACAAAAGAUCGAGAUAAAAGUGCGCGGCUGCUCAGUGUACGAUCGCGAUCGAUCGCGACUCGAAAGUGUCUCCGUCGUGUUUUCCCGUUUCGACCAUCCCAAGAUUUCAACGAUCGAGGAGGAGGAGGAAGAAGAGGAAGAAGAAACUUUCUCCCCGCUCCCCUCCCCUCGAGGAGAUCCGUUUCCUUGGAAUCGCCCCCCUCCUCGGAACGCGGCAAGAAAGCGCUUAAAAGCUUGAUUAAUCGCGCUUGGAGGCAGACUGGUGACCGGUGCACGGCAACCAUGCAUCGGCCGGGUUGUGCCGCUCGCUCCACGAACAGAGGGGCGAACGUCGUUUCCUGUAAAAGAGCCGAUCCUGCGCUAGGCCACCCUUCCCUACCGAUAACGUAUCGAGGACGUUGGCACUGUUAGAGGAGGAGAAGAAGAAAAAGGAAAAAAAGAAGAAAAAGAACAAGAAGAAGAAGAAGAAGAGGAAG